UACGAAGGGGGCUAGCGUUGCUCGGAAUCACUGGGCGUAAAGGGUGCGUAGGCGGGUCUUUAAGUCAGGGGUGAAAUCCUGGAGCUCAACUCCAGAACUGCCUUUGAUACUGAAGAUCUUGAGUUCGGGAGAGGUGAGUGGAACUGCGAGUGUAGAGGUGAAAUUCGUAGAUAUUCGCAAGAACACCAGUGGCGAAGGCGGCUCACUGGCCCGAGUACUGACGCUGAGGCACGAAAGCGUGGGGA
rnacentral:rRNA from 1 species